rnacentral:rRNA from 1 species
AACGAACGCUGGCGGCAUGCCUAACACAUGCAAGUCGAACGAUACCUUCGUGUCUAGGGUCGCACGGGUGCGUAACGCGGGGGAACCUGCCCUUAGGUUCGGAAUAACUCCCCGAUAGGGGUGCUAAUAUCGGAUAAUGUCUUCAGACCAAAGAUUUAUCGCAUUUGGGUGUGCCCGCGUUGGAUUAGCUAGUUGUUAGGGUAAAAGCAUGCCAAGGCGACGAUCCAUAGCGGGUCUGAGAGGAGGAUCAGCCAGACUGGGACUAAGACACGGCCCAGACUCCUACGAGAGGCAGCAGUGAGGAAUAUAGGACCAUGGGCGAAAGGCUGCUACAGCACGGCCGCGAGAGUGAUGAAGGCCUUAGAGUUGUAAAGCUCUUUUAACCGGGAUGAUAAUGACAGUACCGGGAGAAUAAGCACCGGCUAACUACGUG